rfam:Lingula anatina scaffold136, whole genome shotgun sequence.
GGGGCCAUAGUUCAGAUGUGGUUAGAACACACGACUUAUAAUCGUGAGGUCUUGGGUUCAACUCCCAAUGGUCCCA